rnacentral:rRNA from 1 species
AACGAACGCUGGCGGCAGGCUUAACACAUGCAAGUCGAACGCCUGUAGCAAUACAGGAGUGGCAGACGGGUGAGUAACACGUGGGAACGUGCCCAAAGGUACGGAACAACUCCGGGAAACUGGAGCUAAUACCGUAUGUGCCCGAAAGGGGAAAGAUUUAUCGCCUUUGGAUCGGCCCGCGUCUGAUUAGCUAGUUGGUGGGGUAAUGGCCUACCAAGGCGACGAUCAGUAGCUGGUCUGAGAGGAUGGCCAGCCACACUGGGACUGAGACACGGCCCAGACUCCUACGGGAGGCAGCAGUGGGGAAUAUUGGACAAUGGGCGCAAGCCUGAUCCAGCCAUGCCGCGUGAGUGAUGAAGGCCUUAGGGUUGUAAAGCUCUUUCACCAGGGACGAUAAUGACGGUACCUGGAUAAGAAGCCCCGGCUAACUUCGUGCCAGCCGCCGCGGUAA